ensembl:lncRNA
AAAUUGACUCCUUAGAUGGUAUUGGAGACUGUUUUGGUGUUUUUUUUUUUUUUGUUUUUGGUUUUUUUUUAUUUGACCUGAUCAUGGUUUUUGUGGGGUUGUUAUUGCAUUAAUAUAAGUGAAAGCGUAAGCUUGUCAUGUAUGUAAUGGAAUCGGUCCAUUAGCAGCCUCUUCAAGUGUAAAUAUGCACAUAAAUCUUUCACACACAUGCACUUACACAUGAAUAUAUGCAUGUAGAACAUGAAUGUGCAAUAAAACAUCACAUUUAGCAUGACCUACAAUGUCAGGAUCAGAUGUGGGCGGGGCAUCGUGUCAUGUAAAGCGUGAUGGAUGCUGUGUGACGAUGAUGAAGACUGUGAAUGCAGAUGAAAUGAUGUGCUCUGUGUGAAUGCAGCCGGAUGUUGCCGGAAGGGUCCGAAGGUCCCAGAUGCAUUGAAUGGAUGCUGAGUGUCUAAGAGAAAGGCAGUCGUUUUUCUCCAGGGAAUUUUGUUUAAUGUGUGUUUUUUAGAGGUUUUCUUCCAGCCAAGACAUUACUUUUGAAGAAUGAGAUUAUUCUGUCACAGAAAUGUGUUUUUCCUCAAAUGCAUGCAAAAUUAAAGCAGAUAAACUGAUGCAUCUGAGCUCUUUACUCAAAGUGUGGAGACAUUUUCGUUCUUUGUGACGUGGUUUUGAUGGAUUUCUGAUUGUUCUGAGUGUCCAGGGACAGCAUGAGCUGAAAAGAAAGUGCUUUUGGAAGUUUUCAGGAAAAAAGAAACAGAUCAAGUGAGAAACAGAUCAAGGACACUGAAGAUCCUCUGAAGACGCUUGAUCAUGCCUCGCUGUGUUCAUCUUUUGGUGCUUCUCCUGUUUUAUCCUCCUCAAGUCUGUUGUGGUGAGGUUCUGGCUGAAGACCGUCUGCUGAGGUUUCUGCUCACAGGAUACAGUAAACUGGCCCGUCCGGUUCAGAACAUCACUGAUGUGGUCCUCGUCCGCUUUGGACUGUCCAUCGCACAGCUCACUGAUGUGGUACAAUAAUCUCUUCCUGCAGGAAAUACAUUGAUUUCUCUAUAAGCCAACAGCUGGCUGAAACAUAAUCAAACUUCUUCCUCUCAAACACAUUUGUUUAGAUGCUAAUAUUUGCAAUAAACUUAAAAUAUAUAAACCUAUGUUUUAUACUUGUAACUAGUAUAUCCACCUUAUUUUUUUUGACAUAAACACUUUUGAGUUACAAAUGGCUGUGCCUACUCUAUCAUAAAAAAUAAGGCCGAUACGUGAGAAGUUUUAUAUUAUAUAACAUUAUUAUAAUGUAAAAAUGUAUACAGAAAAUUCCUUCACAUUAACAUGGUACAUGGUGUUGUAUUUUUAUGGAUUUUCUUCUGGAGCUUUUCAUAAAGAAAAUGAAGGCGAAUUUAAGUUUUAAAGAAGAAAAAAAAUGGAAAUGUCACGAAAUAUAAUGAAAAUAUCACAAUGCAAAAAUAUUUUUUUUUAAAAUAGAUUUAAUUUGUUUCAUGCUUCAUUCAUUUAUUUCAUCAUUUUUAUUUUUAUUUUU